rnacentral:rRNA from 1 species
CACGUAGGAGGCGAGCGUUGUCCGGAAUCAUUGGGCGUAAAGAGCUCGUAGGCGGUCUGUCGCGUCGGUCGUGAAAACUUGGGGCUUAACCCUGAGCUUGCGGUCGAUACGGGCAUGACUGGAGUUCGGCAGGGGAGACUGGAAUUCCUGGUGUAGCGGUGAAAUGCGCAGAUAUCAGGAGGAACACCGGUGGCGAAGGCGGGUCUCUGGGCCGAUGACUGACGCUGAGGAGCGAAAGCGUGGGGAGCGAACAGG